AACGAACGCUGGCGGCAGGCCUAACACAUGCAAGUCGAACGCCCCGCAAGGGGAGUGGCGCACGGGUGAGUAACGCGUGGGAAUGUACCAUUUAGUGGGGGAUAACUUCGGGAAACUGAAGCUAAUACCGCAUACGCCCGAGAGGGGAAAGAUUUAUCGCUAAAUGAUCAGCCCGCGUGAGAUUAGAUAGUUGGUGGGGUAAUGGCCUACCAAGUCUACGAUCUCUAGCUGGUCUGAGAGGAUGAUCAGCCACACUGGAACUGAGACACGGUCCAGACUCCUACGGGAGGCAGCAGUGGGGAAUAUUGGGCAAUGGACGAAAGUCUGACCCAGCCAUGCCGCGUGAAUGAUGAAGGCUUUAGGGUUGUAAAGUUCUUUCGCCGAUGAAGAUACUGACGGUAGUCGGAGAAGAAGCCCCGGCUAACUUCGUGCCAGCCGCCGCGGUAA
rnacentral:rRNA from 1 species